rnacentral:lncRNA from 1 species
UCCCAUAUCGUGAAUAAUUAUCGAUAAAAAUAAUAGAAUAAAAAUUAUCAUCCUUGGCCUGCACAUUAAAUGAGCCACACACAUCAGUGUAUUUCAGGGUAUGUAUAUCAGUGGUCCUCUUCUCAUAUCCCACAAAGGAUAAUUUGGUCAUUUUAUUUUGAAGAUAGGAUCCACAAACUAAGUAUGACUCAAAAUUCACU